UUUGCUCCCGUAGCAUGUGACAAAGCAGUCGCUGCUUUGCCUAGCUCUGUGCUUCAGGUCUCUCAGGUAACAGGUGGCAGCUUCCCUGCUGGAUUCUAGGUAUAAAAAAGAAUGACCUCAUAGGGGUGGAGCUCUGGGACUCCGUACAGGUGGCAGUCACAGCCAGGUAGCCCCGGAGUAAAGCCGUUUAGUAAGAAGGGGGCAGUUAAACUCGUCACUCUGGUGGCUUCAACUCUGACCCCGAGGCACUGCAACUAACAGCCAUUGCCUACAGGUCUCCAGAGCUUGUCUUUGCCUCAGAUGGAGCCCAGAGAAGCCACUGGGAAAGAGAACAUGGGCACCAAGAAGAAGAAUCUGACCUUCUUGAGGCCCAGGCUCUAUAUGCUGGAGAGAAGGAAGACUGACACAGUGGUUGACAGCAGUGUUUCUGGGGACCACUCUGGUACCUUGAGGAGGAGCCAGUCUGACAGGACCGAAUACAACCAGAAACUUCAAGAAAAGAUGACUCCCCAGGCCGGGGCUUCCACCACUGAGACCCUAACUCAGGAGGAGCACCAGGUGGAGAGAAUGAUGGCAAAGCGUUCGAAAAUCAUUAAGGAGCUGAUACAGACGGAAAAAGACUACCUCAAUGAUCUCGAGUUGUGCAUCAGGGAAGUGGUUCAGCCCUUGAGAAAUAAACAGAUUGAUCAGCUGGACGUGGAUAGCUUGUUUAGCAACAUCGAAUCAGUGCAUCAGAUAUCAGCCAAACUGCUGUCAUUGUUGGAAGAGGCCACAACAGACGUGGAACCGGCCAUGCAAGUAAUCGGAGAAGUAUUCUUGCAGAUUAAAGGACCAUUGGAAGAGAUUUAUAAAAUCUACUGCUACCACCAUGAUGAGGCACACAGCAUACUGGAAUCCUAUGAAAAGGAAGAAGAGCUGAAGCAACAUUUGAGCCACUGUAUCCAGUCCUUAAAGAAAAUAUACAUGCAAGAAGGCAAACCAAACUUACUGGACAUGGGCUCUUUGAUGAUCAAACCAAUCCAGCGUGUAAUGAAAUACCCCCUCUUGCUGUGUGAACUCCGAAGCUCCACCCCUCCCUCCCACCCAGACUUCAGGGCUCUGGGAGAUGCCUUCACUGCAGUGAAAGACAUUAAUGUGAACAUCAAUGAACUUAAAAGACGGAAAGAUUUAGUUCUAAAAUACAAGAGGAAUGAUGAGGAUGAAUCACUUAAAGAUAAAUUGUCUAAACUAAACAUUCAUUCAAUUAGCAAGAAAUCAAAAAGAGUGACAAAUCACCUAAAGAUUCUGACUAGAGGAGAGCCACAGGUGAAAGACAAUACCUUCAAUAGAGAAGAAAAGCUGUUCAGGUCUUUAGAAAAGACAGUGAGGCACUGUGUGAAGAACAUUGCACUCUGUCAUCAACACAUCCAGGAUGCCAUGCCCUUAGCCCUGCAGAGUGUGAUGGCGCUCCAGGAGAUCUCAUGCAACAAAGAUAAGGAGGACAGGAGCCAUUCGGAGACCCCCAGUAAUGUCCCAAAUCCCUGCAGUGACUUUGCAGCCCAUUUACAGAGGCUCGUCCUGAUGCCACUGUCGGCCCUGCUGUCCUUAUUCACGGGGCCGCAGAAGCUCAUCCAGAAACGCUAUGACAAACUGCUGGACUGCAACAGCUCCCUACCACGGGUAGCUGGAGAUGAGACAGACUUGGCCAAAAAGGAGUACGAGGCCCUCAAUGCCCAGCUCGUCGAGGAGCUCCAGGUGUUCAACCAGGCUGCUCGAAAGAUUCUGUGGAACUGUCUGUGCAGUUUCAUGGCUCUCCUCAGAGACCUGACCCUCGAGGCUCAGCAGGUUUACUCCACAGUGGCGCCGGUACCACUGUUGGACUCAAGAAUCUCUGAAAUUCAGAAUCGAGUACUAGAAGAGGUUCAAAAUCUUAAUUUUGUGAAGGACAAUGGUGCUACUUUUAUUGAGAGGAAACUUAGUUUUGAAAAGAAGAAGUCUGUGCAAAUUCUGCCAGAAGUGCCCCGUCAAACUGACAUUCACCGCUCCAAACUACUAUCCACAUAUGGUAAAGAAGAACUCUACCAAGCGAAACGCAAGUGUAACGCUACCCAAGAAUAUGACAUCAAUCUUCUGGAAGGGGAGUUGGUGGCUGUGGUGGAACAGAAGGAUCCGCUGGGAAGUACAAGCAGGUGGCUUGUUGAUACAGGAAUUAUAAAAGGAUAUGUAUAUUCCUCCUUCUUAAAACCCUACAAUCCAGCGAAAGUACAGAAGGUGGACACUGAGAACAGGUUUGGUGAUGAUGAUUUUGAUAACAUCAGCCUCUUUGUGUCCUCGCGGCCAGCUAGUGACAGUGUCACUGGCACCCCGGAAAGUAGCAUAUGUGAUAGCAGCUCAUCUCUUAGCGGUACAUGUGGAAAGUUUGAAACAAACAGCACGGACAUUGACAAUUCUCAAGAGGUAGAUGAUCAGAUUUUCUAUGCAGUUCAUGCCUUUCAAGCACGAAGUGACCAUGAACUUAGCCUUCAGGAAUAUCAAAGAGUACACAUCCUUAGAUUUUGUGACUUAAGUGGCAAUAAAGAGUGGUGGUUAGCUGAAGCUCAGGGGCGGAAAGGAUAUGUGCCAGCUAACUACCUUGGGAAGAUGACUUAUGCUUAAGAAAAGAAGCCUCUGACUUUUGUUUUCUGGGAAGUUAUGGACUACCUCAUAAAACUUACAUUACGAAUGUUGGUCUAGAAGUUAAGAAACCACCAAACUACAUGAACUGAUCCUGUAUCAAGUUUUAAGGAAGACUGUGCUUCCUAACAAGAUUAUUUCAAAAUGUAUGUUGAAGAAUACAUAUUGAGGGAAACACUUAACAAACACAAACAGCAGAACAAAUAGCUCAAGCUCAAGAAACAGACCUCUCAAGCUCCAAGUAGCAACUACUUAAAAGUGGAGAUCUUUGAAAAGAAGCCACACCACUGAAGUCACAGGUACAGUUGGCUGCUGAGCAAGUGUUGUAAUGAACCACCUACUGUACCCUCACUCUUAUAUUACUAUUAAACUAUGUUGUUGCUAUUUUAAAAAUACACCUACAUUUUUCAUAUGCCACUUAGACUUUUAUUUUUUUAACAUUUUGCAAUACCUUCAUUUUCUUAGUAUAUUGUUUAAAAUCAAGUAAUUGUAAUUUUGAGGUUGGGGUUAUUUCGUUGUAUUUCCCAGGGGAAAUAUAAUUCAAAGAUAAUUAUGAUGUAUGUAACUCCUUAAGAAGUUUACAAAGAUAAAACUUAUUGGUGACAUCAUUAUAAUUAAGGCAUUAAGAAAAAGUUCUUUCUUUAUAUUUUAAAAUUUAAAUGUUAUUGUACAGCAUAGAAUUCUCUGAAAUGGGUAUUUUUGCCAAGAAGGAGAAAUUUUUGUGGCUUUUUUUUUGGUAAAACAAAUAAACAAGUGUAUGUACACAUUUCAUUUAGUAUUUAUUUUUAAAUACAGAUGCUCUAAUCUAAUAUUAUACAUAGUAUUGUUUGGAAAUUAUAAAAAAUUCAGUAAUGCAAAAUUACCAUGGGUUCUUAAAUCAUGUGAAAAAGUCACAAAGCUACUAUAUGAACAUUCUUUGUAUUUGAGAACAAUAUUUUCAUUUAGUAUUCAUUAGUAUAAAAUAAUUCUAUGAAGACUGAGCUGUGCAGAAGAGAUAUAAUGUGCAUUGUUAAUCAUAUAAAUGCAGCAUUGCAUGAAAUACUCU